UGCAGAAUCCCGUGAACCAUCUAGUCUUUGAACGCAAGUUGCGCCCGAAGCCUUUAGGCCGAGGGCACGCCUGCCUGGGCGUCA
rnacentral:rRNA from 1 species